UACGUAGGGUGCGAGCGUUGUCCGGAAUUAUUGGGCGUAAAGGGCGCGUAGGCGGCUUGAUAAGCGUGCGGUGAAAGCCCGGGGCUCAACCCCGGGUCGGCCGUGCGAACUGUCGAGCUGGAGCACUGUAGAGGCAGGUGGAAUUCCGGGUGUAGCGGUGGAAUGCGUAGAGAUCCGGAAGAACACCGGUGGCGAAGGCGGCCUGCUGGGCAGUGGCUGACGCUGAGGCGCGACAGCGUGGGGAGCAAACAGG
rnacentral:rRNA from 1 species